UCAAGGGCAAAACAGCCGAAAGGCUGUGACGCAAAGCUAAAGGGUCUUCCUCUGUAUGAAGAUACGGAGAUGACAGCCAGUUGC
rnacentral:ncRNA from 1 species